rnacentral:rRNA from 1 species
GUGGGGAAUAUUGGACAAUGGGGGGAACCCUGAUCCAGCCAUGCCGCGUGUGUGAAGAAGGCCUUUUGGUUGUAAAGCACUUUAAGCGAGGAGGAGGCUACCGAGAUUAAUACUCUUGGAUAGUGGACGUUACUCGCAGAAUAAGCACCGGCUAACUCUGUGCCAGCAGCCGCGGUAAUACAGAGGGUGCAAGCGGUAAUCGGAUUUACUGGGCGUAAAGCGCGCGUAGGUGGCCAAUUAAGUCAAAUGUGAAAUCCCCGAGCUUAACUUGGGAAUUGCAUUCGAUACUGGUUGGCUAGAGUAUGGGAGAGGAUGGUAGAAUUCCAGGUGUAGCGGUGAAAUGCGUAGAGAUCUGGAGGAAUACCGAUGGCGAAGGCAGCCAUCUGGCCUAAUACUGACACUGAGGUGCGAAAGCAUGGGGAGCAAACAGGAUUAGAUACCCUAGUAGUCC